GGAAUAUCGCCUGGCUAUGGGGCAUACGAGCCCAACCAGCUGGCUCUAGGAGUCUAGACAUCAAUCAACACCUUGGCCAUGUUGAUUGACAGGCGAAACGACAGCAUUGAAAAAUAAAUCUGUCAUUUGCAUUUUGAGUUUCGUUUGAAAUCAAUAUGAAUGUGGUACUUGAGAGCCAUUUGCUGUUUUUUUGUUGUUGUGGUUUUGGUUGUUGUUGUUGUUGCUUCCAAAGUCAAUUUGUCAAAAACAUGCCGAGCACCAAAAAAAAAAAAAAACUUAGAAUCAAAGGCUUUUCAUAAAAUUUCAGUGUCAGGCGCAUUUGCAUCUUCGAAAUGGAAAAUCCGUUGGUUUUGUCGGCAGCGGCAGCAGUAGGAGCAGUAGAUGAAAGAUGUAGAAGAGGAGCAUUACAAAGUCACGACGCACAUUUUUCAUUUUUAUGGUUUUUGUAUGUGGGCGCAGCAGCAGCAGCAGCAGCAAAAACAACAGCAACAACAACAGCAACAGCAAUGACAAUUUAAUGCCUUUAAAACAGCAAAAUGCCGUUAAACCGGCAAAAGGAAAUAAUGUACAACAAGGAGCAUCCCGGACUGUCUACCGGAUUCGUGUUUCUGGUUUCUCUUAUUAUCCCGUUGCCGCCUGACAAAUAAACACUAUGUGCGUGUA